rnacentral:lncRNA from 1 species
AUUCCAAGUGUUUUAUGUAGAUAUGAAAAUAAAUCUGCGCAUGGUCAGUUUAAAAAUGUUUUCAGUGUUUAUUCUCAAAUGAUUUGACAAAACGUGCCAUGGAGAUAAAAAAACCAAAUUAAUAUAUUCGACGUUUUUUGCGUCAUUCUUCUGAAAAUAUAUUAAUAAAAAAAGAAAAUGUGGUAUGAUUGCAAAUAACACAAUGCUCCACAAAUGACCAAUUGACACUGGAAAUUAUUAACUAUGGGUCACCGUACUGCCUACAACAAUGAGCAAAUCCCAUACCGCAUACACAACUAUAAAAGGUCCCGAAAGGACAAAUGUAACACAAUUCAAACUAGAAAAUAAUAAAAAAAAAAAUAAUUAAUGAAAAACAAAUGUGUGACUCUUUUGCAAACAACAACCACUUUAAAUUACAUACUCCUGAGUUGAGACAGGACCCGUUACAGCGCUCGACUGAUACCGUUACUUAUUCGUUCCUUAUACGUUGAAACACAUUGCACCUAUUACGAAACAAAUCUUUUCAAUUGUUUUCUUGUCUCUGGUGUUAGCUAUAGGUUCUUAAAAGUGAAAUAUACCUAUUAGCGCGUAUGUUCCAGUUUUAGCGUUAGACCGAUGACCUGCUACUUAUUCGCUUACAAUAUGCUUGUUAUAGGUCGCACCUUUUUUGUUCUUGUCUCUGAUGCUAUAUAUUGGUUCUAAGAGAUAAAAUAACCCUAUUCUAAGGCGUAAAUACUCGUUUCAGUGCUCGACUGAUGCCCUGUUACUUAUUCGUUCCAUAUUCUCUUACUAUACGUGUGAUAUUCGGUGCACCUUUUUAAAACAAUAUCUUUUCAAUUGUAUUCAUUCAGUAUUUUUUUUACUGUAGAUUACUCAUCUUCAAACGAAAUGAGCGUAAUAAGUAAUUUUUUUCUGACAAUUUUUUUUUU